AUUUCUGUCAACCCCCAUUUGAUUAUAUGUGUUUUCCUCUCCAAUGUCCAUCCCUAUAAACUAAUCUUUGGCAAUGGAGGUGGUUCUAGGUUGCAAAGAUUUUGAAGAUUCUUGGGCAGCAAGAACAUGUUGGGAAAGGAGUAGAAGAAUACUCAGCUACGGAUAUGGAUGGCAUUAGUGAAGAUUGGUCGACUUAUGCGGUUAACUCUAUUUUUAAGUUAUAAAUCGUAUUUUUGGUGUUGAGGAUGUAUUGACAAACAAUUCUUUUUUUUUUUGUUAACGUUAAAAUAUUUGUAGUAUACUUGGCAAAUGAUUAUGUAAUGGAUUGUUUUGGU